GCGGAAGUGGCGGAAUUGGUAGACGCACCAGAUUUAGGUUCUGGCGCCGCAAGGCGUGAGAGUUCAAGUCUCUCCUUCCGCACCA
rnacentral:tRNA from 3 species